CUCUAGAAUUAGCAUGUUAUUGUCAAAAGACCAUGGCCCUCCAUUGAUGACCUCCUCCAUAGCCAGCGGAUGAGCAAAAUGGAAUAAGAACCUUCCAGCGCCAACCUCCUUAAUUGUUACUCCUCCCAUCGGCCGCCAAAGAUCCGCCAUUCUCACUUUCAUGGACUGGAUGUGAAUGGCCCUAUCACCAAGGAAUCGACCAACAAGACACCACCGGAGAUCCAAUUGUUCAUCUU
rnacentral:lncRNA from 1 species